rnacentral:rRNA from 1 species
CUUGGUCAUUUAGAGGAAGUAAAAGUCGUAACAAGGUUUCCGUAGGUGAACCUGCGGAAGGAUCAUUAACGAGUAAACACGGGAGUUGUAGCUGGCCGCAAGGCAUGUGCACGCUCUCUACUCAAUCCAACCUUACACCUGUGCAUCUAUUGUAGGUCGGGUGGCUUGGCUCGCGUCAGGCUGUCCUUCCCAUGUCUACACAUACACUUUAUAGUAUCAGAAUGUAAACUGCGUAUAACGCAUCUAUAAACAACUUUCAACAACGGAUCUCUUGGUUCUGCCAUCGAUGAAGAACGCAGCGAAAUGCGAUAAGUAAUGUGAAUUGCAGAAUUCAGUGAAUCAUCGAAUCUUUGAACGCACAUUGCGCCCCCUGGUAUUCCGGGGGGCAUGCCUGUUCGAGCGUCAUUUCACCACUCAAGCCUCGCUUGGUAUUGGGCGACGCGGUCCGCCGCGCGCCUCAAAUCGACCGGCUGGGUCUUUCGUCCCCUCAGCGUUGUGGAAACUAUUCGCUAAAGGGUGCCGCGGGAGGCCACGCCGUAAAACAACCCCAUUUCUAAGGUUGACCUCGGAUCAGGUAGGGAUACCCGCUGAACUUAAGCAUAUCAAUAAGCGGAGGA